rnacentral:rRNA from 1 species
UACAGAGGUCUCAAGCGUUGUUCGGAUUCAUUGGGCGUAAAGGGUGCGUAGGCGGCGCGGUAAGUCGGGUGUGAAAUCUCGGAGCUUAACUCCGAAACUGCAUUCGAUACUGCCGUGCUUGAGGACUGGAGAGGAGACUGGAAUUUACGGUGUAGCGGUGAAAUGCGUAGAUAUCGUAAGGAAGACCAGUGGCGAAGGCGGGUCUCUGGACAGUUCCUGACGCUGAGGCCCGAAGGCCAGUGGAGCAAACGGG